UACAGGGUCAAAGUAGUCAUCUUAGAAAAAAGGCCAAAAAUGCUAAAUCUUUCGGUGUCAAUUCUUCUCAACUGAGGUGUCCAAUCAUGAAGGAUGGGUGUUUGUUGCGGAGCUGCUCCUGGAGGAGAUCUUGCAUAGCUGAGUCGCAGUUCAAUGCAGUUGGUCCAGCAGAGGAAGGAUUUGUUUAAUUAAAGAGAAGAUAUGCUGUCAUCGUAAUUUUUACACAACGAAGAAAUUU